AAGAAAAAAAGGAUGGUGUGUUUUUUUUUGGUUUCGAUUCGGAGCUUCGUCUGAAGUGUGUGUUUACGCAGGUCACACUCCUGAUAAGUGGAGCCUACCAUCUGGUCUGUUCUGUGCUCUGAACAUUUUGAGCUGGACUCUUCAUUUUGUCUCCACUUUAAAAGAGUCAAUUGGUUGUUUAACGUGUGCUCCUGUACGGCGGGGGCAGGGAGGGGGGUGGGGGUGUGCACUCAUCUGCCGGUGUCAGCGUCAACGAGCAGCAGCAGCAGCACCAUGGAGCCACGGCUGAGACCCUGUGUUCUGCUAGAACCACAUCCGGCUGCAGUCAGAUCACAGCUCACCCCCAGAGUUUGGGUUGUCAAGCAAAACAAGAUUACGGUAAGAUCCAAGUUAAUAUGUCUGGAUGCAUUCUCACUAAUCCAGGUGAGGGGUGGGGGGACAGUUGAGCAGCUCCUCUGAACGGGAUGUCCGGUUUCAUCUCUCCUGCGGUCUGUUUUAUCAAAGAACCCAUCCAGACCUGCUCUGCUCAACCUUUUUUAAAAAACCCAAAUUAAAAUUUAUUGAAACCACUUAAUCACAACGUUUAUAUCAUUUUAAAAUCAUACCAAAGUAAAGAAGAUAUUCUGAAGAAAAUUACACUUCCUCAUGUGUCACUUCAAUCUAAUUUAUAGCUAAAGGCACUCAGUCAAUUAUUUACUGUAGACAAAAAAAUAAAAUAAAUAAAAAUCGUAGCAGUCUAUUAACAAUACAUAAAGUGUGUCAUGAUUAUAUGGGACAGGUGCCUCCAUAUAGUAAUUAAAAGUAAGUAAACUGUGCAUACAGAACAAACAAUUAUUUUAUUUAAUUAUAUUUUUUGCUGUACCAUACCAUGCUUUCAUGUUGUUUCUUCUGUUCAGAGCUGAUCAUUUAUCAUUUACUGUACAUUUCAGGUCCUUGCUGAUGCCACAGCAGAAUAUGAAAACUGUUCUUUUUAGAAGCUGYUUAUGCUGACGUGGGUGAUCUGAUGGCCGUGUUUCCGUCUCCGCGUGAAGACGAGUGCAGAACAGAGAAGGUUGCCACCGAGCUCAGCAUGUGAAAGACCAGAUAAAUACCGGCCGUGACAGACCACGUCACGCUUCAACACCAGCUGAUUGUUUUGCCAGCACUUUUCUAAAUUUUAAUAUUUUUAUAUGUGUGCUACACAAGUAUUGAUUGUUGUUUUUCUUGUGACCAAGUUGUUCCAAAUGAAAUGAAGAGUAUCAGUU